UGGUAGUGGAAAUGCAGUCAUUCACCCAACAAAUACUGAGCACUUCCCGCGUGCUGGUUGUUAGGGGUAUGGCAGUAAUAACGGUCUCUGCUCUCGUGUAGUUACGUUCUGGUGUGGCAAGAGCCAAUAAACAAAUACAUGUCAGAUGAUGGUAAAUGCAGUGAAGAAAAGUAAUGCAGUGGAGAGGUUGAACGGGGAGUGUGGCUUUACAGAGGGCGGUCAGGGAAGGCCUCCAGUAACGCGACAGAGACCUGAACUACGGAGAGGAGUGAGCCAGGCUGAUGUCUGCAGAAGGAGCUGGAUUCCAGUCAGAGGAAACAGUACCAGCAGAGCCCAGCGAGUUCAAGCAAGAGCAAGGAGCAGAGCGGCCAGGGCGGAGCGUGGAAGGAGGAGAACCUGCAACAUGUAAAUCGCAGAAGCUGAUGGAAGAGCAUCUUAACAAGGAAGAAGAGGGUAACGAUGUCCUUUGCUGUUGAGAAGGUUGAAAUUUGCCAGUCGCUGAUGGGGAAACAGGUUCAGAGCGGAUUGGUAACUGCCGAGACCGCACAUUCAGUAAACAGCAGAGCCAGGAUCGUGAUGUGUCGUGUCCUCUGGCUUCCCAGCACUCAUUUUCCGUGUCAUAAGCAGCCCCAUGUCUCCUGCUUUGCACUGACUUUAACCCAUCCACCCACCCGGUGUGAAUAACUUCGUGGCAAAGCGUCAUUCUGAAACUGUCCAAGGAGAGGGAGGACAGCAAGGGAUGGUGACGACAAUCUGUGGAGAGAAAGGCCACACCAUCCAAAGCCUGAAAAACAGCUGCUAAUACUAGUUUUGAGUCAGCCAACCCCCUGACUCAGCCUGGUAGGUCCUACACUUUUCCACCUCCAGCUUCAGGCGGGUCAUUCCAACUCAGGUAACCUCUCAGCUGUGUCUGCCCAGCGUUGUUAGCUAACUUGGGGACAUACCCAUGGCUUGAUACUGAACAGUGCAGGGAAGUGGGGAUGCUUUGGGUUGCUGGGGAGGCCUGCCGACACCCCACAACUGUCCUCAGACCAAAACCUGGGAUGUUUACCCCCCUUUGUCACAUCCCCACACAGAUGAGGGACUUUCCUCUCCACUGAGACUGUCCCUGGUGAUGCAGAGCAGUGUCAGAUCAAAGCCAACAAAUUCAUAGCCACCUGGUUUGAGCAUGUCUGCUCAGCCAGCGCUCAUGGCUGAAGUGGGAAUGGGCAUCAGAGAGCAUCGUCCAACUUCCUCACGUUACAGAUGGGAAAAUGGAGGCCGAGAGAGAAGUCACCUUCUAAGGCAAGAGACCAGUGAGUAGCAGAACCGGGACAGGGCCCAGGUCUUCU